rnacentral:rRNA from 1 species
AGUAUAUUGUUGUGGCGAGCCUNAGACCUUUAUGGUGGAGGCGUAGGGAAACCAACAAGUCCGCAAGCUUUUGCUGAGGGACGGGGUCUUAAGGGCCCGGAGUCACAGCGAUAUNACCCGAAACCGGGNGAUCUAGGCCAGGGCAAGGUGAAGUCCCUNAUCAGAGGGAUNGAGGCCUNCAGAGGUNCUGCCGUUCGAAGCACUC